rnacentral:lncRNA from 1 species
CUAGGCUCCCUCCUGUUUGCUGAUGAUCUGCUUUUACUAUCAGAAUCUAAGGAGGGUCUCCAAAAUAGUCUAAAUAAAGUUUCCAUGUUUUGUGAAAACUGGCAGCUUUCUCUAAACAUAAAUAAAACAAAAAGUAUGGUCUUUUCAACAACAAAGCAAAAGCCUGAAACAUCUAUACUUGUAUAUAAAAACAAAAAAAUAGAGAAUGUUAUGGAAUAUCCUUACUUGGGUCUGCUGAUUAAAUCAAAUGGUAAUCUCAGUCAUAGUACAGCUGAAUUAACAAAAAAGGCAAAAAAGGUUUUGUUUUCUAUUAAAACAUAUACUAAUUCUCUUGGCAGCCUUCCUAUCAGAGUGUCAAAUAACUUAUUUGACACCUUAGUGAGACCUAUAUUAACUUAUAAUUCUGAGAUAACAUAUUUGGACUCAUAUAUAACAUAUUUCAAAGCUAAAAAAAGAGCUUUGGUUUCUGGAAAAAUUGUGGACCCAUUUAAUUUUAUUGACAAGACUCCAAUAGAAAACUUGCAUCUUGGUUAUUGCAAGUUUACCCUUGGCACUAACAAGAGUGCCUCAAAUUUUGGUACAAGGAACGAAUUGGGAAGACUGCCUAUUGAAUGUCAUAUAAAAACCCAAACUAUUAUGUAUUUAGCAAGGCUUUUCACCUCAAAUUUGAAUCCCUUAUUACAUGAAUCUUUUCAAUUAACUAAAACUUUGGAUUCUAGUGGCUCCUAUUCAUGGUUCACUUUUGCAAAAGAUAUUCUUUC